UAAUUUAUUAAUUUAGUUAAUGUAGAAAAAUUAUUAAAAAUAAUAAAUUUGAAGUGAAAUGUUAAACAAUUAGAAUGAUAUCUAGUUUUUUUAGAAAUGAAUUAAAUUCAGUUAUUUAAUAUAAUUUUGAUAAUUGUGUAUUUAAAUUAAGUUAAAUAAUAAAUAUUAUUGGGAUAAACUAGUGAUAAUUUAAUAAUAAAAUAAAGAAGAUAAUUAUUUAAAAAUAUUUAUAGAAUUAGAAAUUUUUAUUAAUAGUGUUAUAAUUUAUAUUAAAUUAAUAAAUAAUUUAAGAAUUUUAUUUUAGAAUUUAUAAAAAUAAUUAUUUUAAUUAAAUAAAUAAAGUAAUACUGAUUAAAUUAGUAAAUAAAUUUAUGUAAUAAUAUAAUUAAUAAUUAAUUUAAAUUAAUUUUAAAGAAUUCGACAAAUAGUUUAUUCACCUGUUUAUCAAAAACAUGUCUUAUAGAUUAUAAUUAUAAGUCAGUUCUGCCCAUUGAAAAAUUUAAAAUGGCUGCAGUAAUUUGACUGUACAAAGGUAGCAUAAUCAAUUGUUUUUUAAUUAGAAACUAGAAUGAAAGAAUUAAUGAAAUAAAAAUUGUUUCAAAUUUAAAAAUUGAAUUUAGAGUUUUAGUAAAAAUACUUAAAUUUUUUUAUUAGACAAGAAGACCCUAUAGAAUUUAAUAAAAUUUAUAUAAAAUAAUUAAAUUAUAAAAUUAAAAAUUUAAUAUAAUUAUAUUUUAUUGGGAGGAUAUUUAAAUUUA
rnacentral:rRNA from 1 species